rnacentral:rRNA from 1 species
AGUGAACGCUGGCGGUAGGCCUAACACAUGCAAGUCGAACGGCAGCACAGUAAGAGCUUGCUCUUACGGGUGGCGAGUGGCGGACGGGUGAGGAAUACAUCGGAAUCUACUUUUUCGUGGGGGAUAACGUAGGGAAACUUACGCUAAUACCGCAUACGACCUACGGGUGAAAGCAGGGGAUCUUCGGACCUUGCGCGAUUGAAUGAGCCGAUGUCGGAUUAGCUAGUGGGCGGGGUAAAGGCCCACCAAGGCGACGAUCCGUAGCUGGUCUGAGAGGAUGAUCAGCCACACUGGAACGGAGACACGGUCCAGACUCCUACGGGGGGAGGCAGUGGGGAAUAUUGGACAAUGGGGGCAAGCCUGAUCCAGCCAGACCGCUUGGGUGAAGAAGGCCUUCGGGUUGUAAAGCCCUUUUGUUGGGAAAGAAAAGCAGCAGGUUAAUACCCAGCUGUUCUGACGGUACCCAAAGAAUAAGCACCGGCUAACUUCGUG